CACGUAGGGGGCGAGCGUUGUCCGGAAUCACUGGGCGUAAAGGGCGUGUAGGCGGCUAAGUAAGUCAGGUGUGAAAUCCCUCGGCUCAACCGAGGAAUAGCACAUGAAACUAUCUAGCUUGAGUGCAGGAGAGGGGAGCGGAAUUCCCGGUGUAGCGGUGAAAUGCGUAGAUAUCGGGAAGAACACCGGUGGCGAAGGCGGCUCUCUGGACUGUAACUGACGCUGAGGCGCGAAAGCUGGGGUAGCGAACGGGAUUAGAUACCCCGGUAGUCCCAGCCGUAAACUAUGGGUACUAGGUGUUGGCAGUUAACCUGUCAGUGCCGCAGCAAACGCAUUAAGUAUCCCGCCUGGGGAGUACGGCCGCAAGGCUGAAACUCAAAGGAAUUGACGGGGGCCCGCACAAGCAGUGGAGCAUGUGGUUUAAUUCGAAGCAACGCGAAGAACCUUACCGGGGAUUGACAUCUUGUCGAACUUGGUAGAGAUACCGAGGUGCCUUCGGGAACGUCAAGACAGGUGGUGCAUGGUU
rnacentral:rRNA from 1 species